AUUGAACGCUGGCGGCAGGCCUAACACAUGCAAGUCGAACGGUAACAGGAAGACGCUUGCUUCUUUGCUGACGAGAGGCGGACGGGAGAGUAAUGUCCGGGAAACUGCCUGAUGGAGGGGGAUAACUACUGGAAACGGUAGCUACUACCGCAUAACGUCGCAAGACCAAAGAGGGGGAGCUUCGGGCCUCUUGCCAUCGGAUGUGCCCAGGUGGGAUUAGCUAGUAGGUGGGGUAACGGCUCACCUAGGCGACGAUCCCUAGCUGGUCUGAGAGGAUGACCAGCCACACUGGAACUGAGACACGGUCCAGACUCCUACGGGAGGCAGCAGUGGGGAAUAUUGGACAAUGGGCGCAAGCCUGAUGCAGCCAUGCCGCGUGUAUGAAGAAGGCCUUCGGGUUGUAAAGUACUUUCAGCGGGGAGGAAGGGAGUAAAGUUAAUACCUGUGCUUAUUGACGGUACCCGCAGAAGAAGCACCGGCUAACUCCGUG
rnacentral:rRNA from 1 species